GACAGAGGGUGCAAACGUUGCUCGGAAUCACUGGGCGUAAAGGGCGUGUAGGCGGGAAGGAUAGUCAGAUGUGAAAUCCCUGGGCUCAACCCAGGAACUGCAUUUGAAACUCCCUUUCUUGAGUGUCGGAGAGGAAAGCGGAAUUCCUGGUGUAGAGGUGAAAUUCGUAGAUAUUCGGAAGAACACCAGUGGCGAAGGCGACUAACUGGACAUGUAUUGACGCUGAGGUGCGAAAGCGUGGGGAGCAAACAGG
rnacentral:rRNA from 1 species